CGCGUAGGCGGCGCGGUAAGUCACUUGUGAAAUCUCUGAGCUUAACUCAGAACGGCCAAGUGAUACUGCAGUGCUAGAGUGCAGAAAGGGCAAUCGGAAUUCUUGGUGUAGCGGUGAAAUGCGUAGAUAUCAAGAGGAACACCUGAGGCGAAGGCGGGUUGCUAGGCUGACACUGACGCUGAGGCGCGAAAGCCAGGGGAGCAAACG
rnacentral:rRNA from 1 species